rnacentral:rRNA from 1 species
UGGCGGCGUGCCUAAUACAUGCAAGUCGAACGCUUCUUUUCCCACCGGAGCUUGCUCCACCGGGAAAAGAGGAGUGGCGAACGGGUGAGUAACACGUGGGUAACCUGCCCAUCAGAAGGGGAUAACACUUGGAAACAGGUGCUAAUACCGUAUAACAAUCGAAACCGCAUGGUUUCGUUUUGAAAGGCGCUUUACGGUGCCGCUGAUGGAUGGACCCGCGGUGCAUUAGCUAGUUGGUGAGGUAACGGCUCACCAAGGCCACGAUGCAUAGCCGACCUGAGAGGGUGAUCGGCCACAUUGGGACUGAGACACGGCCCAAACUCCUACGGGAGGCAGCAGUAGGGAAUCUUCGGCAAUGGACGAAAGUCUGACCGAGCAACGCCGCGUGAGUGAAGAAGGUUUUCGGAUCGUAAAACUCUGUUGUUAGAGAAGAACAAGGGUGAGAGUAACUGUUCACCCCUUGACGGUAUCUAACCAGAAAGCCACGGCUAACUACGUGCCAGCAGCCGCGGUAAUACGUAGGUGGCAAGCGUUGUCCGGAUUUAUUGGGCGUAAAGCGAGCGCAGGCGGUUUCUUAAGUCUGAUGUGAAAGCCCCCGGCUCAACCGGGGAGGGUCAUUGGAAACUGGGAGACUUGAGUGCAGAAGAGGAGAGUGGAAUUCCAUGUGUAGCGGUGAAAUGCGUAGAUAUAUGGAGGAACACCAGUGGCGAAGGCGGCUCUCUGGUCUGUAACUGACGCUGAGGCUCGAAAGCGUGGGGAGCAAACAGGAUUAGAUACCCUGGUAGUCCACGCCGUAAACGAUGAGUGCUAAGUGUUGGAGGGUUUCCGCCCUUCAGUGCUGCAGCUAACGCAUUAAGCACUCCGCCUGGGGAGUACGACCGCAAGGUUGAAACUCAAAGGAAUU